rnacentral:rRNA from 1 species
UCCUAAGGCCAGCUCAGUGAGGACAGAAACCUCGCGUAGAGCAAAAGGGCAAAAGCUGGCUUGAUCCAGAUUUUCAGUACGAAUACGGACCGCGAAAGCGGGGCCUAUC